AUUGAACGCUGGCGGCAUGCUUUACACAUGCAAGUCGAACGGUAACAGGCCGCAAGGUGCUGACGAGUGGCGAACGGGUGAGUAAUGCAUCGGAACGUGCCCAGUCGUGGGGGAUAACGCAGCGAAAGCUGCGCUAAUACCGCAUACGAUCUAUGGAUGAAAGCGGGGGACCGUAAGGCCUCGCGCGAUUGGAGCGGCCGAUGUCAGAUUAGGUAGGUGGUGGGGUAAAGGCUCACCAAGCCAACGAUCUGUAGCUGGUCUGAGAGGACGACCAGCCACACUGGGACUGAGACACGGCCCAGACUCCUACGGGAGGCAGCAGUGGGGAAUUUUGGACAAUGGGCGCAAGCCUGACCCAGCAAUGCCGCGUGCAGGAUGAAGGCCUUCGGGUUGUAAACUGCUUUUGUACGGAGCGAAAAGGCUUCCACUAAUACUGGGGGCUCAUGACGGUACCGUAAGAAUAAGCACCGGCUAACUACGUGCCAGCCGCCGCAGUAAGAC
rnacentral:rRNA from 1 species